CCGCCGUCUAACUCGCAACCGGGUCGGGGGCUCCCGGAAGUGCUCUUGCGGAUUACUGCCUGGCACAGAAGAGCUUCUCCUCAUCAACUGGGGAUGAUUACAGUUCUUCCUAAAAAAGGAUGGCUGCUCUUUUUCUAAAGAGGUUAACACUACAAACUGUAAAGUCUGAAAAUAGUUGCAUUAGAUGUUUUGGUAAACACAUCGUGCAAAAGACAGCACCAACACAGUUGUCCCCUAUUGCUUCUGCCCCAAGACUCUCCUUCCUAAUUCAUGCAAAAGCCUUUAGUAACGCUGAAGACACCCAGAAUGAAGGAAAAAAGAAAAAAAAGAAUAAAACAGCUUUUAGUAACAUUGGAAGAAAAAUUAGUCAGCGAAUUAUUCACUUAUUUGAUGAGAAGGGCAAUGAUUUGGGAAACAUGCAUCGAGCAAAUGUGAUUAGACUUAUGGAUGAGCGACACCUGCGACUGGUUGAAAGGAACACCAGCACAGAACCUGCAGAGUACCAGCUCAUGACAGGACUGCAGAUCUUCCAGGAGCAGCAGAGGCUGAGGGAGAUGGAGAAGGCGAGCCCCAAAACUGGACCAACCGUAAGAAAGGAACUGAUUUUGUCUUCAAAUAUUGGACAACAUGAUUUGGACACAAAGACUAAACAGAUUCAGCAGUGGAUUAAGAAAAAACACCUAGUCCAGAUUACUAUAAAGAAAGGAAAAAAUGUAGACGUGUCAGAAAAUGAAAUGGAGGAGAUAUUUCAUCAAAUACUCCAGACUAUGCCUGGAAUAGCUACAUUCUCAUCUAAGCCACAGGCUGUUCGAGGAAAAGCUUUAAUGUGUGUUCUUCGUGCUUUGAGCAAAAAUGAAGAGAAGGCAUAUAGAGAAACUCAAGAGACCCAGGAAAGAGACACUUUGAACAAAGACCAUGGAAAUGAUAAGGAAUCAAAUGUUCUG
rnacentral:sRNA from 1 species